GACGAGCGCUGGCGGCGUGCUUAACACAUGCAAGUCGAACGGAAAGGCCCUUCGGGGUACUCGAGUGGCGAACGGGUGAGUAACACGUGGGUGAUCUGCCCUGCACUUUGGGAUAAGCCUGGGAAACUGGGUCUAAUACCGAAUAGGACCACGCGCUUCAUGGUGUGUGGUGGAAAGCUUUUGCGGUGUGGGAUGGGCCCGCGGCCUAUCAGCUUGUUGGUGGGGUAAUGGCCUACCAAGGCGACGACGGGUAGCCGGCCUGAGAGGGUGACCGGCCACACUGGGACUGAGAUACGGCCCAGACUCCUACGGGAGGCAGCAGUGGGGAAUAUUGCACAAUGGGCGCAAGCCUGAUGCAGCGACGCCGCGUGAGGGAUGACGGCCUUCGGGUUGUAAACCUCUUUCAAUAGGGACGAAGCGCAAGUGACGGUACCUAUAGAAGAAGCACCGGCCAACUACGUGCCAGCAGCCGCGGUAAUACGUAGGGUGCGAGCGUUGUCCGGAAUUACUGGGCGUAAAGAGCUCGUGGGUGGUUUGUCGCGUUGUUCGUGAAAACUCACAGCUUAACUGUGGGCGUGCGGGCGAUACGGGCAGACUAGAGUACUGCAGGGGAGACUGGAAUUCCUGGUGUAGCGGUGGAAUGCGCAGAUAUCAGGAGGAACACCGGUGGCGAAGGCGGGUCUCUGGGCAGUAACUGACGCUGAGGAGCGAAAGCGUGGGGAGCGAACAGGAUUAGAUACCCUGGUAGUCCACGCCGUAAACGGUGGGUACUAGGUGUGGGUUCCUUCCUUGGGAUCCGUGCCGUAGCUAACGCAUUAAGUACCCCGCCUGGGGAGUACGGCCGCAAGGCUAAAACUCAAAGGAAUUGACGGGGGCCCGCACAAGCGGCGGAGCAUGUGGAUUAAUUCGAUGCAACGCGAAGAACCUUACCUGGGUUUGACAUGCACAGGACGCCGGCAGAGAUGUCGGUUCCCUUGUGGCCUGUGUGCAGGUGGUGCAUGGCUGUCGUCAGCUCGUGUCGUGAGAUGUUGGGUUAAGUCCCGCAACGAGCGCAACCCUUGUCCUAUGUUGCCAGCGGGUUAUGCCGGGGACUCGUAGGAGACUGCCGGGGUCAACUCGGAGGAAGGUGGGGAUGACGUCAAGUCAUCAUGCCCCUUAUGUCCAGGGCUUCGCACAUGCUACAAUGGCCGGUACAAAGGGCUGCGAUGCCGUGAGGUGGAGCGAAUCCUUUCAAAGCCGGUCUCAGUUCGGAUCGGGGUCUGCAACUCGACCCCGGGAAGUCGGAGUCGCUAGUAAUCGCAGAUCAGCAACGCUGCGGUGAAUACGUUCCCGGGCCU
rnacentral:rRNA from 1 species